AACGCUAGCGGGAGGCCUAACACAUGCAAGUCGAACGGGAUUGAGAGCUUGCUCUCAUGAGAGUGGCGCACGGGUGAGUAACGCGUAUGCAACCUACCUAUAACUGAGGGAUAGCCCAUAGAAAUGUGGAUUAAUACCUCAUAGUUCUUUUGUUCCGCAUGGGAUGAAAGAUAAAGCUCCGGCGGUUAUAGAUGGGCAUGCGUGACAUUAGCUAGUUGGUAAGGUAACGGCUUACCAAGGCUACGAUGUCUAGGGGUUCUGAGAGGAUGAUCCCCCACACUGGUACUGAGACACGGACCAGACUCCUACGGGAGGCAGCAGUGAGGAAUAUUGGUCAAUGGGCGCAAG
rnacentral:rRNA from 1 species